rnacentral:rRNA from 1 species
GUUAGGAAUAUUGGACAAUGGGCGCAAGCCUGAUCCAGCCAUGCCGCGUGAACGAUGAAGGCCUUCGGGUUGUAAAGUUCUUUAGCCGAUGAUUAUAAUGACUGUAGUCGGAAAAUAAGCCCCGGCUAACUUCGUGCCAGCAGCCGCGGUAAUACGAAGGGGGCGAGCGUUAUUCGGAAUCACUGGGCGUAAAGCGUGCGUAGGCGGUCUCGUAAGUUAGGAGUGAAAGCCCAGGGCUCAACCUUGGAAUUGCUCUUAAUACUGCAAGGCUAGAAUCUAGGGUAGGAUAGAGGAAUAUGCAGUGUAGCAGUGAAAUGCGUAGAUAUUGGAAGGAACACCAGAGGCGGAAGCGGCUAUCUGGACGAGUAUUGACGCUGAGGCACGAAAGCGUGGGGAUCAAACAGGAUUAGAAACCCCAGUAGUCC